UGGGUCUAAUUUUGAAAGAAAAAAAUACUAAACAAAUUCUAUUCCUAUGUUAUACCAUGGGCUGAAUUUUUAUCUCAGUUACACAGACUUUUCUGCUUUCUCUGCCAAAGAGCUAAUAGGCCCAACAUUUUGGAAUCUGGUACACGUAGGUCUACUCAUCUCCCACGUGACUAUUUAGGACAUAAUCAUCAGAAAAAAAAAAUUUCCCAGCAGGUGGCAGUGUUGCCCGGCGUUGUGGUCCCUCAGAGGCUGGAUGCGGAUUCAAAGCACAGCUGAAGUGGUCAACCUCUGUCCAAAUAACAUGUGGCCAAUGAUCACAGUAGAGGGGCGCAGUCGGUUAUCCACCACCGGUAACUUGUUAAACUGUUCAGUACACUACUUAUUCCUCAACAGCCUUGCUCCCAGACCACCUCUCUUCUACAACUGCACGUUGGUUCCCUUUGAUUAUUGGAAAAGUCUUAAUUCCUUAGUCUAAAAAUUAAAAACUUCCAUCUACUGAAUUCAAUUAGUUUCUCCGGCCUGAAGGACAUAAUUCCACCCCCAAAUACGUCAUGCAGCAGCCAUAUUGACUCCCUGGCCUGCGAAGAACUUGAAAGACAGCGGGUGCAGGAAAGUUCCGGAAUCUUCCUUCACUAUCUCGAAAGCAGAUGAAAUUCCCUGCCCAGCACCGGGAGGCUAUCAUCCUUAUCCUCAAGGACAGAAAGCCAAGGUCAGGGGAAAUCUGUGCAAAUAGUUCUUCCACAGUAAUUCUUAGUUUUCCAGUCACUUCUCCACCCACUUAAUUACCCUUUUUCAAGCCCACUGUCUUGUUAUGGUUCCACAGUUUAUGACUCUUUGUCCCAGUCCCUGUUUACAGGUCCAACUCUAACUGACUGGGGUCUUUGUUUCUUUACGAAUGCCCCAGGCUACAUCAAACCUGUGUUAAAUACAUUUGUUUGCUUUUUCCUGAUGGUCUCUCUUAUGUCAACUUGAUUCUCAGGCCUAGGUAGAAAACUCUAAGAGAACCGCAGUGAAGGUUUGCUUCCUCUACUGUGGCAGUCAGGAUGGGCAGCAAUAGGAGAAAACAGGAAGGAAGGAUAAGAAUUAGGAGUUUCCCACAGUAUCUUAGGACUAUGGAAAUUAUUGAGGAAAUUAAAAAAAUAAUUCGUUAUAA